AGCGAACGCUGGCGGCAGGCCUAACACAUGCAAGUCGAACGAACCUUUCGGGGUUAGUGGCGGACGGGUGAGUAACACGUGCGAACGUGCCUUUAGGUUCGGAAUAACUCAGGGAAACUUGUGCUAAUACCGAAUGUGCCCUUCGGGGGAAAGAUUUAUCGCCUUUAGAGCGGCCCGCGUCUGAUUAGCUAGUUGGUUGAGGUAAUGGCUCACCAAGGCGACGAUCAGUAGCUGGUCUGAGAGGAUGAUCAGCCACAUUGGGACUGAGACACGGCCCAAACUCCUACGGGAGGCAGCAGUGGGGAAUCUUGCGCAAUGGGCGAAAGCCUGACGCAGCCAUGCCGCGUGAAUGAUGAAGGUCUUAGGAUUGUAAAAUUCUUUCACCGGGGACGAUAAUGACGGUACCCGGAGAAGAAGCCCCGGCUAACUUCGUG
rnacentral:rRNA from 1 species